rnacentral:lncRNA from 1 species
GGAGGCCCCAGAUAUCUACAAUCCCUUCUCAGUACCAACAAUGGGUUGAUUCUCUUUUUACAAUAAAAAAGCUGAGUAAUAUUGCAUAGAGUACCAAAAACUGCCUCAUUGGAAACAAGAACUAUUUACAUUAAAUAAAAACCCAGUUGCAGUCUGCGUCUGCACAUGUACAGCCUGGUGAAGCACACUGGGACCAACCAUGGAGACAGCUUCUGUCACUCACACCACAGGGGCACGUCUGCCACGUGAGAGGAAAGCAAUGGAGGAGGAGGGAGUGGGGGGGUAGAGGAGUGCAGCUCACUUCUGGUUCCGGAGCUGAUUGGACAGCCAGUCCAGUCCCUUGUAGAGCCCAUCCCCACUGGUGGUGCAGGUGGCCUGAAUGUACCAGUUCCUGUGGCGCAGAGAGUGCACGCCCAGCUUGUCUGUGAUCUCAGCUGUGUUCAUGGCGUUGGGGAGGUCCUGCUUGUUCGCGAACACGAGCAGGACAGCAUCCCUGAGCUCGUCCUCCGCCAGCAUCCGCAUGAGCUCCUCCCGGGCCUCACUCACACGCUCUCAGUCAUUGCUGUCCACCACAAAGAUGAGACCUUGUGUGUUCUGGAAGUAGUGGCGCCACAGAGGCCAGAUCUUGUCCUGGCCGCCCACGUCCCACACGGUGAAGCUGAUGUCCUUGUACUCCACUGUCUCGACAUUGAAGCCUAUGGUGGGGACGGUGGUCAGGAUUUCACCCAGCUUCAGUUUGUACAGGAUGGUGGUCUUCCCGCAGCGUCCAGGCCCACCAUGAGGAUGCGCGCUUCUUUUUUGCCAAAAAGACCCUUGAAGAGGUUCGCAAAGAUAUUCCCCAUGCUGUCGACUGCAGGGAGUGACACUGGCCGGAGAAACCCUCAGCGGCCGCAGCACAGCUGCUGCUCUGAGCCAGGCGUUGGUUUUGCUCCUACAAGAUGGCGGCUCAAUGUUUUAUUUGUUUAAUUGCUGGAUUUAAUAUGCUAAAUUUACUUAGGGUUUUUGCAUUUAUG